GUUUUUUAGGAAACUUGUUCAUUACUAUGUGAAAGAAGUGCAUCAGACACUGUGCGUUGCAGGCCACUACAUCAAACAAAAGAAAGCAUUGGUCAAGUUAAUUUCCUGCAUUUUCUGGGAAUCCUGCAAGUUUUUAAUUAUGUCCGUUUUAUUAACAAUAUAUAAUGAUAUUAACAUAUCAUUAAGGAAAAAAAAAAUCAGUAUUCAAACAUCUAAUAAAGAUUUUAUGGAGAUUUGGAAGAAUUUGAAAGAACAUUUAUGAUCUUCAGCAAAGACUGAUGGUACUUCUGAGGUCAUCUACUGAUGCAGAAGAAAGUGGACAAGGGAUUGUUUCCUCAGCUGAUGAGGACUGACUUGAUUCUGUGGUCUGUGGCAUUGCCAUACAGCACCUGAAUAAGGCAAUCUGUCAAGGCCCUGAACCUGGGCAUAGCUCCAUAUUUAUGAAUGAAGUUGCAACUGGUCACCUUCUUCCAUAAUGAACCCAUCAUCACAAAAGAGGACUUGCUCUGACGUCACCAGUCUAUAGGAUUUGAAAACUAACAAGAAAUCGUACUCUAGGACAAAACAAUUCAUUACUUUUAACAGGUCGGAUUACGAAUGAAUUGUCUCUAGACAAAGAUCACAUUAGGUUAUCUCCCGAUGACGUUAUUGUGG